rnacentral:rRNA from 1 species
UACGAAGGGGCUAGCGUUGUUCGGAAUCACUGGGCGUAAAGCGCACGUAGGCGGAUCUUUAAGUCAGGGGUGAAAUCCCGAGGCUCAACCUCGGAACUGCCUUUGAUACAGCACGUCUCGAGUCCGGAAGAGGUGGGUGGAAUUCCUAGUGUAGAGGUGAAAUUCGUAGAUAUUAGGAAGAAACACGGUGGCGAAGGCGGCCCACUGGUCCGGUACUGACGCUGAGGUGCGAAAGCGUGGGGAGCAAACGGAUUGAGAU